GACGAACGCUGGCGGCGGGCUUAACACAUGCAAGUCGAACGGCAAGGCCCUGCUUUUGUGGGGUGCUCGAGUGGCGAACGGGUGAGUAACACGUGAGUAACCUGCUCUUGACUUUGGGAUAACUUCAGGAAACUGGGGCUAAUACCGGAUAGGAGCUCCUGCUGCAUGGUGGGGGUUGGAACGUUUAGGCGGUUGGGGUUGGACUCGCGGCUUAUCGGCUUGUUGGUGGGGUAGUGGCUUACCAAGGAUUUGACGGGUAGCCGGCCUGAGAGGGUGACCGGCCACAUUGGGACUGAGAGACGGCCCAGACUCCUACGGGAGGCAGCAGUGGGGAAUAUUGCACAGUGGGCGGAAGCCUGAGGCAGCAACGCCGCGUGCGGGAUGACGGCCUUCGGGUUGUAAACCGCUGUCGCCUGUGACGAAGCGGGAGUGACGGUAAUGGGUAAAGAAGCACCGGCUAACUACGUG
rnacentral:rRNA from 1 species